ACGCCAACCCAUCCCAGCUCACCGCGCCCUUUGUGGGCGCCGGCGGUGCCGAGCGCUCAGCAAGGAGGAAGCCCCUGCCCAGAGGAGAUGCGGACCUACACCAUCAUCGGCAGGAGCCACGAGCAGUGUAGGGACCUAGACAGAGAGGCUAGAGCGAGGCCCAGUUCUGCACAUGAGCUGUGUGGCUUCUCUUCUUGAGAAGAGAAGGGGGACCUCAGUUUCCCCCUCUGUGGUCUUCCUGCUCAACUGCCUUGAAUUCAUUGUCCAUGUUAUGUGGAAAUGGGGCAGGAUUCACAGUUUCUUCCUGCUCACAACCUGCAGGCUCCAAAUCUGCCUCAGAAAUGGAUCCUAGAAGUGGCUCACAGUUUAGGAAGUGGCCUUCUGUCUUGGGCUCACCUACCAGAAGUCCUCCAGUCUCACCUGCUGGAAGUGCUCUCAGAUCAGUACGUGCCCAGCCUUCUCUGUGGCCUCUUCUGCUGAAAAGAAAUGCCAGAGUCCUCAGUUAUAGUCUGUGGAAUGGAGGCGGGGUUGGGGAGAUUAGGUGGGGUAUG
ensembl:lncRNA